UGUUUGAAAAUUUCGACGUUUGGGCACUCAAUUUAGUCAAAAGGACUAAAUUGUAAAAAGUGCAAAAGUUGAGUUCUACAAGUUAGAGGUGUCUAAUUAUUAUGAAAUUUUAAAUUGGAGGUCCUUAAAUGGUAAUUAGACCAUUGGUUAUUUAUGGACAAAAAUAGACAUGGUUAGUAAGUAAGCUAUUUAAGGGCAUUUUGGUAAAAUGCCUUAAUUAAUGAAUAAAGACAAAAUAACAUGAAAUAAAUUAUCAUCUUCUUCAAUUCUUUUCUUCAUGGCCGUAUGUAGCAAGGGAACACCAUGGCUAGGGUUUGUUCAUCUUCCAAGCUUCAUGAUCAAGAAAGAAGUGGAAUCGACCUUGACCGGAGAAAAGGAAAGAUUAAAGACUAAAUUGCUAAAUUUUUAUAUUAUUGCAUCAAAGUAAGUUACGUGUAAAUAAUAGUUAUAUUUUUAUAAAUUGUGAAUUAUAUUUGAUAUGUGAAUUAAUAUUGAAUGUGGAAGGAAAAUUGUUCAUGAA